rnacentral:misc_RNA from 1 species
GAUGAAGAACGUAGCGAAAUGCGAUAAGUAAUGUGAAUUGCAGAAUUCAGUGAAUCAUCGAAUCUUUGAACGCACCUUGCGCCCUUUGGCUAUUCCGAAGGGCAUGCCUGUUUGAGUAUCAUGAACACCUCAACUCUCAUGGUUUGCCAUGAUGAGCUUGGACUUUGGGGGUCUUGCCGGCCUAUGGGUCGGCUCCUCUCAAAUUAAUCAGCUUGCCAGUGUUUGGUGGCAUCACAGGUGUGAUAACUAUCUACGCUUGUGGUUUUCCAUCAGGUAACCUUCAGUGAUGGAGGUUCGCUGGGGCUCAUAAAUGUCUCUCCUCAGUGAGGACAGCUUUUUUGAACGUUUGAUCUCAAAUCAGGUAGGAUUACCCGCUGAACUUAAGCAUAUCAAUAAGCGGAGGA